rnacentral:rRNA from 1 species
CGCGACCCCAGGUCAGGCGGGGCUACCCGCUGAGUUUAAGCAUAUCAAUAAGCGGAGGAA